UGGGUCAAGAAUGCAAAGACCUCAGACGUUUCGGGGAUCAUCAUGUCACCAGAUACCAUUGUGCGCUUGUGACAGAUUGAUAACUGAAAGGUCUGGGAGCCACUCAUCUUCACAGCCAU
rnacentral:pre_miRNA from 13 species